GUCCCCAUUUCUAAAGCAUCCAUCGUUCGAGACGCUCAUAGCCGAAUAACACCGGUAAGUAUUUGGUGUCUACUUCUUUGCCUCAAGUUUUUUCAAAACUCAGACAAAGAGGGGCAAACUGUAGACACCAAAAAUUUCAUCAAUUCAAUCUUAACUGUAUUUAGCUUUAUUCAAUUUCUGACUCUCUUUGAUUCAAUUUUAGUUUUUAUCAUUAUUUAUUUAUUCUUGUUUCAUAUUUAUUAUUUUUAAUUGAUUUGAGGUUGCAAAUAGUAAUUGAUGUUUAUUCUUAUUUUAAUACAUUAAAAUUCAUCAUUUUCUUUUUAAAAGCAAUUUUACGCUAAAUUUUAGGAAAAAUCCUGAAUAAAGAUCCAUUUUAUUUUUUUAAAUUUGAUUUUUUCUUGCUAAGGCAUUUUGCAAGGUAAUUUUAGAAAAUUAGCAUAUUAAACAAGUGUGUCAAUUGCAUGUUGAACAAGUGUGCAAAUAAGCAUUAGACAAGUGGUUAAGGAAUGGUAGGACAAGUGUUUAGGGAGGGGUAGGUGUUUGAGACACCUGGAGGUCUAAGAGAGGAGAAAAGGUACGAAAGGCUAAAAAAAAUCGAAGGAAGCUCUCGGCUGGGGGGCAAGCGAGGGAAUGAAAAGGAAAAACAGGGGAAGGUUUUGGGCGGAGCUAAGGGAAGAAAAAACCAGAAAAACAGAGAAGGGGCUGCUAGCAAAAGGAAAAAGGCUGAAAGAAAAACAAAGCAAAAGAAAGAAAACAGGGGAGGAUUCGGCUAAGGAAAGGCUAAAGAACAGAGAAGGGGGCUGCGGAGAGUAAAGGGAACAGAAAACGGAGAAGAUAGCUGAGAGGAAUUUAGGAAGAGCAAGAAACGGAACUAAAAAAAAAAGAAACUGGCAGCCGAAAUCUGGAAUUUGGAGGAGGAAUUUCGGGCAGAGGCAAAGGAACUAAACGCAAAGUGAGGAAACAAAGACCAGGAGGUCCGCCGCAAUCCGAGCUCCGCCACGGCACCUCCACCUCGUGCGCCACCUUUCUUCUCCAGCGCGACCAACAAGCAGCCAACCGCUUGCCCAAGCCACCUCCAGGCCGCACUCGUCGUUGUUGCUGUAUGCUACUCUCCACCUCUGCUGCCGCCUUUCAACUCCCACUGCCGUUGCUGCCACCGUAGCCAUCAAAGCAGCAGGGGCUUCUACUGCCAUCUCCACAGAGCCGUCUACCGUCAGCGCCACCCCCCCAGAUUCAAUUCGACUUCAGAAUUUAUAGCCCUGAAGGCUAAAUGGCCACUGAUAUUCUUUUAAUCUGCAACGGCUUAAUAUGAAUGACUGGGUUGCAUUGAUCAAAGGGGGUUUGAGUUUGUUAAAAAGUUUUGUUUGCUCCGCAUCUGUUUCGUGUGGUUCCUGGGGUGAGUUACCGAAGAAAGAAAUGAAAAAAUUGCAAGAGAACUUCGAGCAGGAUGCAUGAUACUUUCUGAAUUUUUUUAUUUUAGCCCCAACUUUUGUCCAAUUGCAUUACGGCCCAGAAACAUUUGUAAUUGAACGAUUCACAUCCCUAUUGGAUGCUCAUCUCCUCUUGAUAUUUUAGGUGCAUUUCUAAA